UACAGAGGGUGCGAGCGUUAAUCGGAAUUACUGGGCGUAAAGCGCGCGUAGGCGGCUUUGCAAGUCGGGUGUGAAAUCCCCAGGCUUAACCUGGGAACUGCAUUCGAGACUGCAUUGCUAGAGUAUGGGAGAGGGAAGUGGAAUUUCCGGUGUAGCGGUGAAAUGCGAAGAUAUCGGAAGGAACAUCAGUGGCGAAAGCGACUUCCUGGACCAAUACUGACGCUCAUGUGCGAAAGCGUGGGGAGCAAACAGG
rnacentral:rRNA from 1 species